GCUCAGCUGGUCUAGUGGUAUGAUUCUCGUUUAGGGUAAUACCUUGAGUACGUUUGCGAGAGGUCCUCGUUUCAAACCCGGGGUCGAGCC